UCGGGAAUUUUGGGCAAUGGGCGAAAGCCUGACCCAGCAACGCCGCGUGAAGGAUGAAGUAUUUCGGUAUGUAAACUUCGUAAGAAUAGGAAGAAUAAAUGGCGGUACUAUUUGUAAGGUCCGGCUAACUACGUGCCAGCAGCCGCGGUAAUACGUAGGGACCAAGCGUUGUUCGGAUUUACUGGGCGUAAAGGGCGCGUAGGCGGUGUGUCAAGUCAGUUGUGAAAUCUCCGAGCUUAACUCGGAACGGUCAACUGAUACUGUCACACUAGAGUACAGAAGGGGCAAUCGGAAUUCUUGGUGUAGCGGUGAAAUGCGUAGAUAUCAAGAGGAACACCUGAGGCGAAGGCGGGUUGCUGGGCUGAUACUGACGCUGAGGCGCGAAAGCUAGGGUAGCAAACGGGAUUAGAUACCCCGGUAGUCCCUGAGCGGGCUGGCAAGGCGCAU
rnacentral:rRNA from 1 species